rnacentral:lncRNA from 1 species
AUGGAGCCAGCAUUGGUCACCUGUCCAGCUAACUAUCCAACUGUCAGAAGUGUUGUGAGCAUGUGUGGGAACCCCAUGCCUGCUCCUGAAUACGCCUGUCCUUCUCUUCAUCCACAGGUAGACGCAAUCACCCAGCUCAAUGAACGGCACACCCAGCCUCCAGUCACUGCACAGCCCCAGCCUUCUCUCUUGGAUAUCUGUAGCUCUACUUCAGGCCUGCCUGCACAUCUCAGGCAAAGUGGAACUGGACGCGUCCGUGGCUCUGACUUUUGGCACUUGGACAACCUCGUGGCUCUUCAAGCCCCCAGUGCCCCAGCUGAGUGUUCAGAGGGGACAACAGUGGCGCAGGACAGCAGACCCAGGUUCACAUCCUUCCCAGAGAUGCCCCAUGGGAUGGGCACCAGCCUGCCUGCCUGCCUGCCUGCCAGUGACUUUUGUGUCCUCAUCAUUGGAUUAUCCUCCUGGGUUUUAGUUUGGGGGAAUCUUUCUGGAAAGCUCUAGAUUCAAGAGUGCAUUU